UACGUAGGUGACCAGCGUUGUCCGGAUUUACUGGGCGUAAAGAGCGCGCAGGCGGUCGUUCAAGUCGAGUGUGAAAGCCCCCGGCUCAACUGGGGAGGGUCACUCGAUACUGAUCGACUUGAAGGCAGGAGAGGGAAGCGGAAUUCCCGGUGUAGUGGUGAAAUGCGUAGAUAUCGGGAGGAACACCAGUGGCGAAGGCGGCUUCCUGGCCUGUUCUUGACGCUGAGGCGCGAAAACUAGGGGAGCAAACGGG
rnacentral:rRNA from 1 species